rnacentral:misc_RNA from 1 species
CAACCCUUAAGCCUCUGUUGCUUAGUGUUGGGAGACUACAGUUUCUGUAGCUCCCCAAAGUUAGUGGCGGAGUCGGUUCAAGCUCUAGACGUAGUAAUAUUCUUAUCUCGCCUAUAGAUGCGCCGGUCCCCUGCCGUAAAACCCCCAAUUUUUAAA